UACGGAGGGAGCUAGCGUUGUUCGGAAUUACUGGGCGUAAAGCGCACGUAGGCGGCUUUGUAAGUUAGAGGUGAAAGCCUGGGGCUCAACCCCAGAAUUGCCUUUGAUACUGCAUGGCUUGAAUCCAGGAGAGGUGAGUGGAAUUCCGAGUGUAGAGGUGAAAUUCGUAGAUAUUCGGAAGAAACACCAGUGGCGAAGGGCGGCU
rnacentral:rRNA from 1 species